UCUGCAGCCCCUGGUGCCUGACUACGAGUGUCUGACGAAGGACCUUACCCUAGGACUUGGGGCCCUCAGGGCAUGGUGACUCACCCCGGCUCCUUCCUUCCUCCACUGCCCCGUGUCGCUGGCUUAGGAGCCACCAGCUCAGCAGCCUGCGUGAAUGAGCCCCAAGUGCUCUCAGACCAGCCCAGGCUCACACCCAGGACAUGAGGCCACGAUGACCACCUGGCACAUCCCUCUGCUCGCCACAGCCCCAGCCCUGGUGGCUCCCAGCCCUCUGGAAGGGCCAGCCCGGCUGGAUCAGGAACGCCAGUCCGGAGGGUAAUAAGGGUUCCCUGUGGAAUGAGAGAGGCUCCACAUGGUUGGCGGCGGCGCCUGGAUGGUACCCAGCACUUUUCCAGGGCAUUCCGGGAAUCCUGCUUUGGCUCCUUGUCUGACGCACUUUGAGUCAGCGCUUGAGCCAGACAGCCGCUCUGGGCUGGCCAAGAGACAGGCCACGCUUCGUCACAGGAGCGCUAGUUGUGUGAGGGAGCCCAGAGUCCCCUGACUUAAACGGGCCUGGCUCACUGCCCCCGUUUCACAGAUGAGAACACCGAGGUCCAGAGGCAGGGCAACCUGUCCACCCUGGAUACUCCCUGUCAAUCAUCAGAGCGGCUCCCUUCAGCCCCUGCUCACCCCGUCCUCCGUCCUGCCGCAUUUAUAAUUGCAGUGGUGAGACCAUCCAGACCCCACCUCUCCCUGGGGGGGCUCGCCCUGACCUGAGGAAGGAGGGGCUGGGCCUCAGGCACAGGGAAGAGGCCCUGGGACUGCCACAUCCCAGGUCACACACCCCCAUCCCCGGGGGACAGAGGCUUCAUCUGGUUAUUUAUGGAACUGCCACUCUGUGCCAGAGCCUGCCCAGGACACAGUUUCUGCCUUUGAAGACACGCAUGGAACGAGUGACCUCCAGGCCAGAGUGGCCCAGCCCUGGAGGGGCAAGAGCAACACCCAGCAAGAGGGAGGGGACAGAGGAGAAACUGACCGCACCCCUCCCCGACCCCUGGACUACGCGGAGCUGAGCUGAGCUGAGCUGGCAGAGGAGGAAGCUCCAAAUUCUAAGAGUCUCAAAUUUAAUACAAGAGCCGCCUGGACUUUGCAUUACCCAAAGCGCCUGGAAAAAUGACGUGAAAUAGCUGCAGUUCCUUGCAAGGGGGCAGAGUGAGUCUGCCAGACAGGAGUGAAGGGGGGAAUUGAGAAAGAAUGAAUAAAGUGCUGUAUGGAUGUUAAACUUGUUGAGUUGUCACAGGCGCCCUUUGAGUGGAGCCUGUUAACAUGUUUGCUUUCCAGAGGGAGCCACUGAGGCACAGAGAGGCUAAAGGAUGCCUCAGGGUCACACAGCCAGCACACAGCAGAGCUGGAAUUGGAUGGGGCAGGCUGGCCCCAGCGGGUACCCUUCCUGGCCUGUGGUGCUUCUUCCCAGCAGACACACUUGCGUGUCUGUUGAUUCAUCCCCUCCCCGUCUCCAUGAUGCUAAUGCCAGCAGCAUGGAUGGAGGGCCUGCUAGGAGCCCCGCGCCCUGCAGCACUUUGCAAGCAUCACAAGUCAUCCGGUGGAACUCCCAUUUGCAGGUGGAGACAACUUUGAUCUCAAAGGAAUUCAUCUCAAACAGUGGAACUUCAGAAUCCCAAGAAAGAUGUGGGAGGGAUUUUCCGAGAAAACCUCCCUACGUUCCGAAGACAGAGACCCGUCAGACAGGGCCAAGGAAAAAUCAUGGAGCUGGGAGCGGGAGGCCUGGGUAUGAGUAAUAACAGUCUAACCAAGUAUCCCCAUUUUUCUAAGAAAAAUAUAAUGAGUUAUUAUUUUUUAUUAUCUUUCUCUUUUCUCUGAUUCCCCUUAUUCCCUACUUCCUACUUAUCCCUUUAGAAAUGCAAUUAUAACCUUUUGCCUCCCCUGCACCUGAGGCUUGCUACAGGCCAAGUCCAUCUAGCUAUGUGCUUAGACACUCCAGAGUGGAACUCUCACCCACCAGGAGGUUGCCUCGGGAGAUGACAGUCCAUCGACGAUCCAAAGAUGUCCGCGAUGAAACUCUCUCCUACCCGGAGAGUUUUCAGCUGCAUUACAACCUAGUCCUGCCCAUGAAGGUGCCAGCAGUCACCAGUUUUACCACCGCCUGGUAGAUAAAGUACCAAGUUAGCACACAGACCGCCCCCAACCUGCUCGCUUUCUCCCUGUGUGCCAUUCAUGUUAGGCCCCCUUUAAAAAGCACUUGCUUUCUGCUCCAAAAGUAAAGCAAUACCCUUAAGGCAGGAAGCUUGAACUUCUUCCCCUAAGCUAGCUUGGGAAUAAAAAGUCACUUUCUUU